UACGUAGGUGGCAAGCGUUGUCCGGAUUUACUGGGCGUAAAGGAUGCGUAGGUGGAUAUUUAAGUGGGAUGUGAAAUACCCGAGCUCAACUUGGGUGCUGCAUUCCAAACUGGAUAUCUAGAGUGCAGGAGAGGUAAGUGGAAUUCCUAGUGUAGCGGUGAAAUGCGUAGAGAUUAGGAAGAACACCAGUGGCGAAGGCGACUUACUGGACUGUAACUGACACUGAGGCAUGAAAGCGUGGGGAGCAACAGG
rnacentral:rRNA from 1 species